rnacentral:rRNA from 1 species
GGAUUACCUCAGUAACGGCGAGUGAAGCGGUAACAGCUCAAAUUUGAAAGCUAGCUCUUUUAGGGUUCGCAUUGUAAUUUGUAGAAGAUGCUUCGGGUGUGGCCCCGGUCUAAGUUCCUUGGAACAGGACGUCAUAGAGGGUGAGAAUCCCGUAUGUGACUGGGUGCUUUCGCUCAUGUGAAGCUCUUUCGACGAGUCGAGUUGUUUGGGAAUGCAGCUCAAAAUGGGUGGUAAAUUUCAUCUAAAGCUAAAUAUUGGCCAGAGACCGAUAGCGCACAAGUAGAGUGAUCGAAAGAUGAAAAGCACUUUGGAAAGAGAGUUAAACAGUACGUGAAAUUGUUGAAAGGGAAGCGCUUGCAACCAGACUUGCGCGCUGAUGAUCAUCCGGGCUUCUGCCCGGUGCACUCGUCUGCGCUCAGGCCAGCAUCGGUUUCGGUGGUGGGAUAAAGGCCUUGGGAAUGUGGCUCCUCUCGGGGAGUGUUAUAGCCCUCGGUGCAAUGCCGCCUACCGGGACCGAGGACCGCGCUUCGGCUAGGAUGCUGGCGUAAUGGUUGUAAGCGACCCGUCUUGAAACACGGACCAAGGAGUCUAACAUCUAUGCGAGUGUUUGGGUGUCAAACCCAUACGCGUAAUGAAAGUGAACGGAGGUGAGAACCCUUAAGGGUGCAUCAUCGACCGAUCCUGAUGUCUUCGGAUGGAUUUGAGUAAGAGCAUAGCUGUUGGGACCCGAAAGAUGGUGAACUAUGCGUGAAUAGGGUGAAGCCAGAGGAAACUCUGGUGGAGGCUCGCAGCGGUUCUGACGUGCAAAUCGAUCGUCAAAUUUGCGUAUAGGGGCGAAAGACUAAUC